rnacentral:rRNA from 1 species
GACGAACGCUGGCGGUGUGCUUAACACAUGCAAGUCGAACGAUGAACCGGUAUCGGCUUGGGCUUAGUGGCGAACGGGUGCGUAACACGUGGGCAAUCAGCCCUGCAUUCUGGGUUAAGGCCGGGAACCUGGGUCUAAUACCGGUUAUGCCACAUCGAGGCAACUUGGGGUGUGGAAGGUUCUGGCGGUGUAGGAUGAGUGCGCGGCCCAUUAGCUUGUUGGCUGGGUAAUGGCCUACCAAGGCGACGACGGGUAGCCGGCCUGGGAGGGUGACCGGCCACACGAGGACUGAGACACGGCCCAGACUCCUACAGGGGGCAACAGUGGGGAAUAUUACACAGUGAGCGAAAGCCUGAUACAGCGACGCCGCGUGAGGAAUGACGGCCUUCGGGUAGUAAACCUCUUUCGGCAGAGAAGAAGCGGAAGUGACGGUACCUACAGAAGAAGCACCGGCUAACUACGUG